AUCGAACGCUGGCGGCAGGCUUAACACAUGCAAGUCGAACGGGCGUCUUCGGGUGUCCGUGGCAGACGGGUUAGUAAACGGGUGGAACGUACCCUUCGGUUCGGCCUAACUCGGGGGAGCUUGAGCUAAUACCGGGUACGCUAUUUCGUGGGAAGGUUUACUGCCGAAGGAUCGCCCCCCGUCUGAUUAGCUUGUGGGUGGGGUAACGGCCUACCAAGGCGACGAUCAGUAGCUGGUCUGAGAGGAUGAUCCGCGACACUGGGAGUGGGACACGGCCCAGACUCUUACGGGAGGCAGCAGUGGGGAAUAUAGGACAAUGGGCGCAAGCCUGAUCCAGCCAUGCCGCGUGAGUGAUGAAGGCCUUAGGGUUGUAAAGCUCUUUUGUCCGGGACGAUAAUGACGGUACCGGAAGAAUAAGCCCCGGCUAACUUCGUG
rnacentral:rRNA from 1 species